GACAUCUUCAACGUGGCCAACGAAUGCCAGUACUCUGACGACUACAAGAAGUGUCUGACAGAAGGUCUGGGCUCCAAUGGGGCGGCCGCCGAGCUGCUGGAGUUUGCCGCUGACCCCGAUUACCACAUCGUCGGCUCCAGCUUCUCCAGCUUCCACACCUCUAUCAACUUCCAGGCUACUCAGAGAAAUCAGAUUUUCCUUAACCGCUGUCUGAAGAUCGAGAAGCCCGAAGAAGUUUCCCAGUCCGCUGAGGCUUAUCCCGAAGUUGUCCCGGAAGCUUCCGAGACGAUCCCCAAUGAAGCUGAAGACCCCGAGUACAAUCCUGAGGUCUCCGGUCUCCCAGAAACCGCUCCUGAGGAGGCUGCCAUUGCUCCAGAGGAGUCCUCGGAAGAGGUUCCUGUCGUCCCUGAAGAAUCCCCUGAGGAGCUCCCUGCCUCCUCGGAGGUAGUCCCGGAAGAGAUUCCGUCCGUCCCCGAAGUCCUCCCCGAAGAGGUGGCUGCAGCUCCUGAAGCUCCUGAAGCUCCCGAGGCUCCGCCCGCUGAGCCGGAGGAAGCUGCCGAAGCUGAGAAAACCGACGGCGAGGAUGCCCCUUCCUACGAACCGUGAAAAGCUGGACAACGUUGGUGCCUUCUGGCUGAAAGAACGUCUGUUACGAUGAGGUUGUAUCACACUCAGCACCUGCCCUCACGCCGUGUCGUCUCGGGGCAGAGUUGACACGAGAGGUUAAUUCCAAAUGAAGGCGCAGAGAAUGGCCAGAACAAACAAACUUUGUUGAAGAAGCAUAUUUAUUUUGUUGUAGUCUUGUGUUUCACCGCGCGGUUGUGCAUGAUUGUUAUGAGGGCUUCACGAGUAUUAGUUCCAACGAUGACCCGCGGUUUGCGCAAGAGCGUCGGCACUUGUUUAAAGCCGAUGACGUGGGCGCCUGUAACCUGUGGUAGGCUCAGUCGAGUGUUCAUUGCAGAAACCAGUCUUACCUAGUAAUCAUGGUGUGUAAAACGUUGAAGAUUGGCAUAAGAAACUUGCAAAGCUUGCGGGUGUGAUAAUGAACUGGAUAGUGCUCGGAAAUAUAUCCUUUCUAGUUACU